UACGUAGGGUGCAAGCGUUGUCCGGAAUUAUUGGGCGUAAAGAGCUCGUAGGCGGUUUGUUGCGUCGGCUGUGAAAUCCCGAGGCUCAACCUCGGGUCUGCAGUCGAUACGAGCAAACUAGAGUGUUGCAGGGGAGACUGGAAUUCUCGGUGUAGCGGUGAAAUGCGUAGAUAUCGAGAGGAACACCUGCGGCGAAGGCGGGUUGCUGGGCUGACACUGACGCUGAUGCGCGAAAGCCAGGGGAGCGAACGGG
rnacentral:rRNA from 1 species